UACGUAGGGGGCGAGCGUUGUCCGGAUUCAUUGGGCGUAAAGAGCUCGUAGGCGGCUUGGUAAGUCGGGUGUGAAACCUCCAGGCUCAACCUGGAGACGCCACUCGAUACUGCCAUGGCUAGAGUCCGGUAGGGGCCCACGGAAUUCCUGGUGUAGCGGUGAAAUGCGCAGAUAUCAGGAGGAACACCGGUGGCGAAGGCGGCGACUGGGACCGA
rnacentral:rRNA from 1 species